GUUCGCUUAUUACUCCCUCCGUCCCUCUGUACUAAUACAAGUGCAACCUAGUAUAGAUGUGACAUCGUAGUAUUAUGAAUCUAGAUGCUAUAUUAGUUGUACUUGUAUUGGGACGGAGGGAGUAUUAAUUAAGAAG
rnacentral:misc_RNA from 1 species